AAGCUUUUGAUAGAGUGAAGUCAAAGGAUUUGGUGAAGGAUUAAUGGACUAAAACUGGAAAUUCCAGAAAUUCAGUACAUUUUAAAGUUUGAAGGCUUCCCAAGGGAAGACAGGAUUGCUUCUCCUCAAUCAGUGGAGACCAAACCCUUCAGUCAGAAGAGGAGAAACUGGAAUCCAUUAUGCAAAUGGACAACCAGAUCACUCCCAAGAAAGUUCGAAGUUUUUGUUCCUUCCGCUAUGGAUUAUCUCUCCUCUUGCAUCUCUGUAACGUUGCAUUAAUGGCACAGAACAUGUGUCUGAACCUCACAAUGGUAAUCAUGGUGAACAGCACAGGUCCACACAGUUUGCCUAAUACCUCCACAGAGGAGCACCUGGAUAACAUAAAGAACCCCGUGUAUAACUGGAGUCCUAAAAUCCAAGGCAUCAUCUUCAGUUCCAUCUUCUAUGGUGUACUCAUCACCCAAAUUCCUGUUGGAUACUUGUCUGAAAAAUACUCCAUCAAGAAAAUGAUUGGCUUUUCAUUAUUCCUCAGCUCUCUACUUAGUCUGUUAAUGCCAAUGGCAGCUGAAGGUGGUGCAGCUUUCCUCCUGGCAUGCCGAGUAGCCCAGGGAGUAGCCCAGGGGUCGGCAUUAAUAUCUCAGCACAUGAUAUGGGUCAAGUGGGCUCCUCCCUUGGAACGAGGCCGACUUACUACCUUGAGUCUAUCAGGAAAUCUGCUGGGGUCCUUCAUUGUUCUGCUUGUGACUGGAUUCAUCUGCCAGUCCCUGGGCUGGCCCAUGGUCUUCUAUAUUUUUGGUGCUUGUGGCUGUGCCCUAAGUCUUCUCUGGUUCGUUCUCUUUUAUGAUGACCCAAAGGACCACCCAUGUAUAAGCAUCAGUGAGAAGGAAUACAUCUUGUCCUGCCUCAACCAGCAGGUCAGCUCAAGCACACAGUCUCUGCCAAUCAAAGCUAUGAUUAAGUCUCUUCCAUUCUGGGCCAUUGCUUUCGGUUCUUUUGCUUUUCACUGGACAAAUACCAUUAUGGUUUUGUACACUCCAACGUUUAUCAAGGCCAAGCUUCACGUGAACAUAAAAGAGAAUGGGCUGCUGUCAGCUCUCCCUUAUUUGUUUGCCUGGAGCUUUGGCAUCCUAGUAGGUCACCUGACAGACUUCUUCCUGUCCAGGAAUAUUCUCCGCUUAAUUACCAUCCGGAAACUCUUCAACACUCUAGGACUUCUCCUGCCUGCCUUCUUCAGUUUGUGUCUGCUCUACCUGAGUUCCAGCAUUUAUAGCAUGACCAUUUUUCUGAUACUUGCCAGUUCAACAGGAAGCUUUUGUAUGGGUGGAGUACUUAUAAAUGGCUUGGAUAUCGCUCCCAGUUUUUACGGAUUCCUUAAAGGAGUUACAGCUGUAAUUGGGAUGAUAGGAAGACUAAUUUCUUCUACUCUGUGUGGAGUGAUCCUUAAUCAGGAUCCGGAAUCUGCCUGGUUUAAAAUUUUCAUCCUGAUGGCAGUCAUUGACGUGUUAUGCCUACUUUUCUGUCUCGUAUUUGGAAAAGCAGAUAUUCAGGACUGGGCUAAAGGCAAUCAAGAGCACACACGCCUCUGAAGUGUAAAACAGAACACUAAGAGAGCCUGGGACUGACCUCCUUAUUGAAGGGAAGAGGGGCCAGCCUGGUACCUGAGACUGAGAGGCAGUCAGCGUCCCGAGGAAGAAGAUGGAAUGCCUGGAGCUGACCCUUGGUUAAGCCUGAGUGAAACGUGCUGACUAGUGAUUAGUAUAGUCCUGUGGGAUGGUCUGAGACUCCCAAAGGUAACCUGUACUAGUCAACAUCAUUUAUACAAAAUAUACAAAUUGAUGGUUUGCAUCUAGGUUAUGUUCUCUUAGUUUCUGCUAUGGAACCUGCUCUUGCAACCUUUUCUUUGGGCAAAAACAAGACUCCUCACUGGAUGAGAUGUUGGCUCCCCUGAGGCCAAGACAUCUUCCAUGGGUCACUGUGGUUGGUUAUCUGAAGAUAGAAUGUGUUCUACUGACUGAAAGGAUCCUGUGAGCUGUGUUUGGAAGUCCCAGGCAUCUUUGAUACUACCUCUGCCAAAGGUCAGCGUUUCUCUUGCUAUCCUGUUAGUAAAGCUUUCCCUUUAUUAAAGCCUUCUGUGUGCUGGCACCAUGGGGUAUUAUGGAUCUUUCAGUGACCUAGCCCCAUGUGACUGCUGCAUCCUCCAAUAGAGAUAUUGGUGUGAGCUGUCUCCUGUCCCUGGUUAAGCUAUGAGCAUAGCCACUAUAUCCUCGUUUUCACCUAAAAAACUCAGUUCACAGUAGUAGACUAGUUUUGGGCUCCUUCCAGGAAUUAUUUGGAUAUAGGACUGGUGCUGAUAUGUCCUGUAACCCCUGGCACGUAUCCUUUACAUGUAACUGGUGCAUCAGAGCAAGUUUAGGGCUGUUAGACUUGAGCUGAGCUUCUGUGAGGAUGAAGCAAAGGGGAUCCUACCGAGGAACAAUAUCCAAGAAGUUAAUGAGGGCUCCUGCAUAGCAGAAAGUGGUGGUAGAAGAUAGGGCCAAGGAGACCAUACUGGUGCUGAGGUUGGAUCUGACCCAAUGCAGGGACACGAGAACCACAGAUGGGACGACAACCCCUAGAGCAGGAGGGCAAACACAGAGUGAAUAAAAACCUCCCUGAACUUCCCACAUCCAUCCUAGGAUACACCUCAGUGCUUACCUAUGGCAGUGGAGAACUUCCUGAUGGUCAUGAGUCUGAGAAUUUUUCUGGAGAGAAGAAAAUCUGCCAGUAGACCUCCAAGGAUAGUGCUGAUGAAGGCAAUACUUAUCAGCAGGGCUGACAGGAUUCUACUCUGAGGACCAGAGAUUAGUAAGGUGCAUACCUCACUGCCCACAUCACGACAUAGAUUGAUCCUUGGGUGGCUUAUCUAUGUGUAUAGUUUUUCUUUAUAUACCUAUCUCCUUUAAUACAAAUUUCAUAUUACUGGAAUGAGCCAACACAAUUUUAGUGUCUGAGAAAAACUAUAGUUUUUCAAUAUAUAGUUCAAUUUGCCAAAAAAAAAAAAAAGACUAAUGUUCUCUUUAUAUGUAAAGAUCAUCUGGAAAUAGAUUUUUAAAAGAUCAAAUUCAGUAGAAAAAUAGGCAAAAGAUAUGGACAAUUUACAAAAAAAGGAAAAUAAGUGGUUCCUGAAUAUAUAAAAGGUAUCCAACCUCAUAGUAAAAAAGCCUACUUUUUCAUGGCUCCAACUGGCAAAAAUCCCACAGAUUUUUGACCUGAUCUGCAGGGAUGCUAUGAGAAACUGGGUACUUGUAGAUACUAUCAGUGCCCUGUGGAGAGCAAUUUGAUAAUAGAUCUAGAAGUUUAUACUGCAUUUAACCCUUAUCUCAGAUAUAUAGAAACAGUUGCACAGAUGUAUGGCAAAUGAGCACGGUUUUCACUGCAGCAUCACUCAAAGAUGGGAAACAACCCAAAUGUCUCUCAGUAAGGUUCCCAUGUGCUGACUGGAAAGAUCACCAUGGUGUAGUAUACAAAGAAUAGCAGCAUAUACAGCACAUAAUGUUUUGUGUAAAAAAAAAAAAAAAAAACAAGUGAGAAAAUAACAAUAAUGUUUUGUGUAAAAAAAAAAGUGAGAAAAUAACAAGAUACAUUCAUGUAUGCUUGCAUCCUCAUAAAGAAACAGUGGAAGAAUAUAUAAGGAAUGAAUAAGAAAGAGUUAUCUGUGGCUGGGAGGGGCUGAGAGAACAGAGCAGACUGAGGACAGGAAUGGGAAUAAGAUGUUUUCACUCCUACCUCUCUAUAUACUUUUUAAAAUAUUGAGCCCUGUUUUGAUCCCUUCACCUUCUGUAUUAUGGUACUAUUACAGAAAAGGUGAGGAAAAGAAUGCUGUCCUUUAUUGUGUAUAACCCCCAAACGGAAAGGCUUAACUGUCGCCUUGUCCCAACUGUUUAUAUUAUGGAUGCAUAAACCAAAAAAAGGUUCUGUGACUUAGGGAGAAACCAUCCUGAGAGCAAUGGGAGUCUGACUUCCCAGGCUGGGAAAGCCUACUGUCUGGUCUCAACUGAUCUUUCCAGUCAUUCCCAACAGCUGGCCUCGGGCACGUCUGGGCCUCAUGUACCCUGAUGGCUUCACCGGAGUUUCUGGUUUCAUUGCCUGCUUCUGGAUCUCCUUUUGUGAAGACCCUUAGCCACUCAGCCCGUGGGCUUUCUGAUCUCUGUACCUCCAGCCUGCUUGCAUGCAUGCACCGGGACUUCAGCUCAGAAAGUCAGCUCUCUGUUGGCCAGUUAGCAUGUUUUCAACCAGAGGAGCCCAGUUAACACGAUAACACUGCUUUUUGAAUACAAAACACAAGAAUGUAAACAGCAAUUCAAUAACCUUGGAAGCUGCUACUAAUAGGCUACAAAAUCUGAUAAGCUCGUUGCCAUUUUUAAGACCUCCAUCUUGUGGGCAUUGUCCUUUCUGCCAGUCAGAGCAUAUGUUCAUUUUGUGAAAAAUCAGAGAGCUGUACACAUACAUGCACUUUUCUCUGUAUGUGUCAUACCUGAAUUUUAAAAAAAUGUAGAAGAACAUUAUCUGCAAGAUUUUGGUAGCAGUCCUAUUUGGGACUUGAUGUCUACUAAUCAUCUCGUUUUCAGCUUGUUGUUUGUGCUUCUCUUCUCUCGAAGGCAGAACUUGUUUUGUUAAUGCUGUAUUGUUUAUGCUGCCAGCAGAAUAUCUUGUUUACAAAUGUUGAUUGGAUUGAACAUAAAAGUUUGUGUAGGUCUCUUAAAAAAUAGGACAUUCUGUGAAUGUCACACUUACCUAGAACCACACCAGUCUUCCCCAAUAAGCUGUGGGUCACAGUGAGAUGAAUCAGAAUUCAUGCAACCAAUUUGCAUUUCCUGCAUGAAGAUCCUGGACCUAAUCCCCUGAUUUUGUGGCCCAAAGUGAGACAGAGGAUUAUAUAAUGAAGCAUCUAAACAGAAAGACAGGAUAGACUUUCUCUAUACUUACAUCUCUGAGGUUAGCUUAAAGUACAGAGCUAAUGUAUGUUGGCAUAUAUGCUAUGAAAAAAUAAAAAAUCCAAUAUUCACUGAAAUAAAAGACUAAAAUGCCCCAAAGUGGUAGGGAUUUGAUCAUAGCCUUUACGGGAAGAGACCGCCUGUGAACAGUCCUGGAAGAAAGCAGAUAUCAAUAUCCCUCCAUCAGGAAGACAAGAGCUUUGCUCUAAUGCCCUCUUCACCCCUGAGACACCUGGGCAGACGAGGGAAAUGGCAGAUAAGUUCAUCAAAUGUACCUGUUGAUCCAGUGAAUACAUGAUAUAUUCCUUCUCACCGGUACUGAUAGAUAGAUGAUCUAUGGGGUCAUUAUAAACAAGAGGAAACCAGAGAACAAAACAGGCACAGCCAAUUCCACCUAGGAAGAGGAUCCAGUUAGCCCUUGAUAGGAGUUGUUUUAGUUGACUGCACUGAGGUGAUUCCUGUGGUUGAUAGAAUGACUGACCCUAAUAUUCCACUCCUACCUGUAUCCAUACUGCGGCCCUAUCAUUGGCAGGGGGUGCUUCCCAGCCACUUAUAUUGGACAACCCAAUGUUAUCAGUAUUGAGCAGAAAUAAAAUUCAUCUUAAAA